UUCUACGCACAUUGCCAGUUGAUAGAUCCACUUGUCCGCUGACGUAAUUUAAUGUCUUGAACGUAACGGUUUUUGCCACACUUACGUCUCUACAAUGUACAAAAUUCGAUACAUAAAAUGCAGGUAUUUGUUACGCUUUUGUUUAUCAAGCUUUUAAAUGUACUACCAGAAGCCGCAAUCGGAAGUAUCCGCAGUCUUCGCACAUUUUUUCUUGCCAAAGAAAGAAUCUAAUUGGUAGCCUGCGUGUGUUUCGUUCACAAGGAAAAUUACACAAUUGUCACAAGCUUCGACCUGGAUGCUUACCUAAGAAGACCUCGGACAACAAUGGAGAAUCCACAGCUUCUUCCGUCUGACAAUAGUGUGCCGAGAACGUUGUGCACACACACUGACGAUCCGAUACACGUGAAACGACCGAAGAUGCGUUGAAGAUCCACGUCACUUCGGGUACUAACGUACACUUUAGCCUGGAGGCCAGUUGAUGCACUGACCAGGCGAUCGUGUCAUGGCUGGUCUCGAUGCGCAAUCCAGGCCCCUGAUUCGCCGUUAUCCGACACUGGUCCCUUUCGCCACGAACUUUUGUAAUCUGUUUGUGCCGUGGACAUCCUGUUUCGCCACGAUACUCUAUCGAGAUACCCGACAAUAAACAGGGCUGUAGUACGGGAUAACCUAGGCAACACUACCGACUCAAAUUUUGGAAAGAAGAUCGAAUGGAGCCUUACCUGCAGGCCUCUAAUAGGUUUCGGCACAAUGCGUUGAGUCCUACUUUUACUUAGAGCAAGUAGUUGGGGCACACAGUAACCCCGACUAACCGAAGCCAAGCAAAGUUAAAGUCAACCAGGCUGAACGGAUCGGGCCCAAACGCACCGGAACGGACCCGAAUGGAUCAAAACGGACACGAGAGAGCCCUGAGUGAACUGAAGUGAAUCCGAGCGAGUCCGAGCGGAUCAGAACUAACCGAAGCGAGUAGAAUCGAGUUCGAGCAAAUUGUAACAGGUCAAAGUGUGGAGAAAAUAAAAAUAAUAUUCAUAUUGCAGAAA